rnacentral:rRNA from 1 species
UCAAGCUACUAAGAGCAUGCGUGUGGAUGCCUUGGCGCAAGAAGGCGAAGAAGGACGUGGCUAGCUGCGAAAAGCCUCGGGGAGAUGCAAGCAAUCUAAGAUCCGGGGAUGUCCGAAUGGGGAAACCCAAGGCGGGUAACCGUCUUACGCACCAGUGAAUCCAUAACUGGUGCGAGCGAACCCAGGGAAGUGAACCAUCUCAGUACCUGGAGGAAAAGAAAACAAUAGUGAUUCCGGUAGUAGUGGCGAGCGAAUCCGGAAGAGCCUAAACCAGACGAUUCGCAAGGAGAGUCUGGGGUUGCAGGACCACAAGAAUAAGGGCGGUUUCCGAGACCAAGGAAACGGAGCCGGGAGCGCAAGCGACCGGAUUAGUUCAAGGGAUCGGAAGUCGAGCUUAUUCUGAAGGAGUUAUAGGGAAGCGUUAGGAGAACGGCAUGGAAAGGCCGGCCAGAGAGGGUGACAGCCCCGUAUUCGAAAAUGCCAUCCUAGCUUCGAGUGGCUCCUAAGUACCGCGGGGCACGAGAAACCCUGCGGGAAUCUGCCGGGACCAUCCGGCAAGGCUAAAUACUCACUUGCGACCGAUAGUGAACUAGUACCGUGAGGGAAAGGUGAAAAGAACCCCUGUGAGGGGAGUGAAAUAGUACCUGAAACCGCAUGCUUACAAGCAGUGGGAGGACUAUGGCUCGCAAGAGCAAUGUCUGACCUCGUGCCUAUUGAAUAAUGAGCUGGCUAGUUAGUCUCAGUGGCAAGGCGAAGCGAAAGCGAGCCGCAGCGAAAGCGAGUCUGAACAGGGCGUGCAGUCGCUGGGAUUAGACGCGAAGCGGGAUGAUCUACCCUUGGCCAGGAUGAAGUCCGUGUAACAGCGGAUGGAGGUCCGAACCAGUGUUGGUUGAAAACAGCUUGGAUGAGCUGAGGGUAGGGGUGAAAGGCUAAUCAAAUUCCGUGAUAGCUCGUUCUCUCCGAAAUAGCUUUAGGGCUAGCCUCGUAUGGUCCGUCUUGGUGGUAGAGAACUGAUUGGACUAGGGGCCUUUCCAGGUUACCGAAUCCAGCCAAACUGCGAAUGCCAAGAACGAGUAAUACGGGAGUCAGACGGUCAGGGCUAAGCUUGAUCGUCGAAAGGGAAAGAGCCCAGACCAUCAACUAAGGUCCCCAAAUCCGCACUAAGUGGGAAAGGAAGUCGAGUGCCUCAGACAGCCAGGAGGUUGGCUUAGAAGCAGCCAUCCUUUAAAGAAAGCGUAAUAGCUCACUGGUCGAGGAACUCGGUGCCGACAAUCCAACGGGGCUAAAGUGCGGUACCGAAGUUAUGGAUUCAAUGCGUAACAGCAUGGAGUGGUAGGAGAGCGUUCCUGACAGCGAUGAAGGUGUACCGUAAGGAGCAUUGGAGCGUCAGGAAGUGACUCUGCCAGCAUAAGUAGCGAUAAGCCAGGUGAGAACCCUGGCCGCCGAAAGUCUAAGGAUUCCUGAGAAAGGUUAAUCCGCUCAGGGUUAGUCGGGGCCUAAGGUGAGGGCGACAGCCGUAACUGAUGGACACACGGUUAAUAUUCCGUGACUACGACGAUUCGAUAAAGACCGAUGGGGAGACGCAGGGUCAAGUCUGCUGUGCGCAAUGGUUACAAACAGCAGAUGAGAUCAGAUUCGGACAGGCAAAUCCGCCGGAUCGACUGCCAGGAAAAUCCUCUAAGGAGAAUCGGCGUACCCGUACCACAAACCGACACAGGUGGACGAGAUGAGUAUUCUAAGGCGCUCGGGUGAUGGAGUUGCGAAGGAACUAGGCAAAUUAACCCCGUAACUUCGGGAGAAGGGGUGCCCACUUCGGUGGGCCGCAGUGAAACGCGUCAGGCGACUGUUUAACAAAAACACAGGUCUCUGCAAAGUCGAAAACGACGUAUAGGGGCUGACGCCUGCCCGGUGCCGGAAGGUUAAAGGGAGAGGUUAGCCGCAAGGCGAAGCUUUGAACUGAAGCCCCGGUGAACGGCGGCCGUAACUAUAACGGUCCUAAGGUAGCGAAAUUCCUUGUCGGGUAAGUUCCGACCUGCACGAAUGGCGUAACGAUCUGACGACUGUCGGCGCGCUCCGCCCGGCGAACUUGUGGUUCCGGUGAAGACGCCGGAUGCCCGCCACUAGACGGAAAGACCCCGUGCACCUUUACUAUACCUUUGCAAUGAACUAUGGUGCGGUCUGCGCAGCAUAGGUGGGAGGCUUGGAACUCAGGCUCUUGGGCUUGAGGGAGCCAACGGUGAGAUACCACCCUGAUCGUACUGUGGUUCUAACUUACUCCCGUGAUCCGGGAGAAGGACAUUGCAAGGCGGGUAGUUUGACUGGGGCGGUCGCCUCCUAAAUUGUAACGGAGGCGCGCGAAGCUUAGUUCACUCUGUUUGGAAAUCAGAGGUCGAGUGCAAAGGCAUAAACUAGGUUAACUGCGAGACCUACAAGUCAAGCAGAUGCGAAAGCAGGCCUUAGUGAUCCGGUGGUUCUGUAUGGAAGGGCCAUCGCUCAACGGAUAAAAGGUACGCCGGGGAUAACAGGCUGAUCGGAGUCAAGAGUUCACAUCGACGCUCCGGUUUGGCACCUCGAUGUCGGUUCAUCGCAUCCUGGGGGUGCAGAAGCUCCCAAGGGUUAGGCUGUUCGCCUAUUAAAGCGGUACGUGAACUGGGUUCAGAACGUCGCGAGACAGUUCGGUCCCUAUCUGUGGUGGGCGCAGGAGAUUUGAGGGGGCUUGCCCUUAGUACGAGAGGACCGGGGUGAACAGACCUCUUGUGAUCCAGUUGUCACGCCAGUGGCACAGCUGGGUAGCGAAGUCUGGUCAGGAUAAGUGCUGAAUGCAUAUAAGUACGAAACCUUCCCCAAGAUGAGAUCUCCCUGAAGAGCCGUGAAAGACGAUCACGUUGAUAGGACGGAUGUGUAAGCGCAGCAAUGCGUUGAGCUGACCGUUACUAAUAGCUCGUUCGGCUUGACCAU